AUGCAUUCACUUUCAUUACUUCCAAAUAAUUGCCCGGAAAGACUGGCUGCUGGACAGGGCUGCCCACUUUACAUCACUGUGAGUCAAUUUCAUCAUCAUCAAAGGAGCCCCUGGGAGUUGAUUUCAGCUUGGGGGUGGACUCAGCCCUCGGCUGCCGGCUGCCUAUUGGUCCCCAGGCUGUGCAGAUCAAGGUGCCGCCACCACUCUCCUGGGACAGCUCCAGAUAAAGAGAGCGGCGAGACAGGAGGGGAGCUGGGAGCGCACCGCAGAGAAAGCCUGAGCCGGCGGCAGUACCACCUCCCCUUACUCUGUGCCUGUGGCCGCCAUGCCCGGAAUUGGGGAGCGAAAGAAGGAGCCCCCGACAGAAGUCUGAACUCGGUGCAGCAGCAGCCCAGGGGCUCCAGGGAAGAUGGGAAGGGCAAUCGGGUCUGGACCGCGUUGGCUUGGAAGAAAGCUUCCUUCUGGCCACAGAGAAAGCUCCAGGAGGUCACCGCGUGUGCCACACACACAGCCAGCGAUGGUUCUGUAAGAGUGCAUCUCCUGGUGACGUCAGAGCCGUCUUCACUUAUGUGAGUGCGUGUACCCCACGAUGUUCAUACAGCAGCAAGAUGGCACAAGGCACGUUUCUCAGAGCGUGUCCCCGUUGUUAAGACAUGCACGACUAUCCCUGACCACCAAACCAAUCAGCUAACUCUGUGCUGCCUGGAUCCCGGGCUGUGCCCUCACAGCAGGUGCAGCAGGGUCUCAGGAGCCCCGAGGACCCCACCGUCACCGCGGCUGGGCCAUGGCUCAGCCGUCUCGAGGAGCAUCAGGCCCCGGGUGCUGGCAGGCGAGACUGCAGUCUGCCGAGCGUGAGUGGCAUCCGUAGAGUACGACGUCCCUGCGUCCCGCGUCCUCUGCAUAAAUGCAAUUUCCCCGCAUGUCAGGAGGAAAGCAUUACAGAUAGCACGUUGCGUGUGUCUUUGACCCAGUAAGUGCUGAAAUCACAGAUCUCAUUAUUCUGACAUGAUAGAAUUUUCUCUCCUUCUCUCCCGCCGCGGGCUGACUGCUGUUGUUUUUGAGGCUGCAGACCUAAUUGCCCAAGGUGCAAAGCCACCGUGGAAAAAUGGGCCCACCUGCGUGCUCCCCCUAACAGAAUGCCAAAGUCUCCUUGCGCCAGAAGAAAAUGAUCUGAAAGGCAACUCCCAACAAGACAUUACACUGAAGGUCAUGUUGGCCAGAGCUCUACGGGAGGGCUGAAAUAGUUCAAGGACAGUACUUGACCUUGAAAGCUGCAUUGCCACGGUUGACCCCGCCUAUCUCCAGUGCUGAGACAAGACUGGGUUAUCAGGUAGGGCAUAAACACUGCACCUGCAGCAACUGCCCUGAUUUGCGUUCCAGUUUUCUACUUCCUGUCUACGCAGUCAUACUCAGUUUCUUGAUCCUCCCCAGCUUUUACUGUCGCAUCUAUAACAAUGUGGCAGGUUGGAUGUGAAGAAUAAAGCGCAAUUGCACGUAAGGUGCCCGACA
rnacentral:lncRNA from 1 species